rnacentral:rRNA from 1 species
UACAGAGGUCUCAAGCGUUGUUCGGAUUCAUUGGGCGUAAAGGGUGCGUAGGCGGCGCGGUAAGUCGGGUGUGAAAUCAUCGGGGCUUAACUCCGAAACUGCAUUCGAUACUGCCGUGCUUGAGGACUGGAGAGGAGACUGGAAUUUACGGUGUAGCGGUGAAAUGCGUAGAUAUCGUAAGGGAAAGACCAGUGGCGAAG